rnacentral:rRNA from 1 species
GAUGAACGCUGGCGGCGUGCCUAAUACAUGCAAGUCGAGCGAACAGACGAGGAGCUUGCUCCUCUGACGUUAGCGGCGGACGGGUGAGUAACACGUGGAUAACCUACCUAUAAGACUGGGAUAACUUCGGGAAACCGGAGCUAAUACCGGAUAAUAUAUUGAACCGCAUGGUUCAAUAGUGAAAGACGGUUUUGCUGUCACUUAUAGAUGGAUCCGCGCCGCAUUAGCUAGUUGGUAAGGUAACGGCUUACCAAGGCAACGAUGCGUAGCCGACUUGAGAGGGUGAUCGGCCACACUGGAACUUGGACACGGUCCAGACUCCUACGGGAGGCAGCAGUAGGGAAUCUUCCGCAAUGGGCGAAAGCCUGACGGAGCAACGCCGCGUGAGUGAUGAAGGUCUUCGGAUCGUAAAACUCUGUUAUUAGGGAAGAACAAAUGUGUAAGUAACUAUGUACGUCUUGACGGUACCUAAUCAGAAAGCCACGGCUAACUACGUG